UGCUGCAUGGCUGUCGUCAGCUCGUGUCGUGAGAUGUUGGGUUAAGUCCGCAACGAGCGCAACCCUUGUCCUUAGUUGCCAGCAUUCAGUUGGGCACUCUAAGGAGACUGCCGGUGUCAAACCGGAGGAAGGUGGGGAUGACGUCAAGUCCUCAUGGCCCUUAUGUCCAGGGCUACACACGUGCUACAAUGGCCGGUACAAAGGGGCGCAAGACCGCGAGGUGGAGCAAAUCCCAAAAAACCGGUCUCAGUUCGGGUUGGAGUCUGCAACUCGACUCCAUGAAGUUGGAAUCGCUAGUAAUCGCGUAUCAGCAUGACGCGGUGAAUACGUUCCCGGGCCUU
rnacentral:rRNA from 1 species